rnacentral:pre_miRNA from 18 species
UUCCACCCACCGGCCGCUGAUAUGUCUGAUAUUCUUGGGUUAUCUGAUAAUGAUUGUUGUAACUCAAGUAUUAGACGUAUCGACGGCCGGCUGGGUUGGAAUCA